UCUUCACUUUGUUGAGAGAGGCACAGCUGAGAACUUCUCCUGGUGCUCCUGUUGGCCCUGCUCCCUGCUGCUGACUUGUGCAGAGGCUGAGGCCUGGCUGUCUCUGCUAGGAGCCCAACUCCACUAACCUGGACUGCUGCUCUGUCUGUAAAGUGUCUGUGUGCGGACUGAGCUGCUGCUGCUGACCUGUGAACUGACCUGCUGACUUGAUUUCCAGACAACACAGACCGGAGUUGCUCUAAAGGACCUUUCUAAACAGCUCCCAGUGGCAACCUUUAGUGUUCCUGACUUGGAGGCUCUAAUCUCUGCCUUUGUCUUGGGGUUUCUGACCUUUGGACACCACAUUUCUAUAUUCUUCUGAUGAAUGACCCCUGUUCUGUGCUGAGAAUGAUCUGUGACUGCUGUCCUUUUGGUUUCGAAUGGACGGGGGCCAGCAUACCGCAGGACAAGGUGUCUGGGGGAACAUUUGAAAUAAAUUUCCUAUAGUCUGAGACAAGAACAACCAACUGCACGCAGGGCAAACCAACAAGAUCCUUGAUCCCAGAAUCCAUUCUGAAAAAGCACAAAAGGAAUACGACAACUGCCAAUAUAAUUUAUACUACAUUUGUAUAUUAUAUUAUAUUUAUAAUUUAUAUUACAACCCAAGUGGACACAUCCUGAUAAUUGUAUAUACUCACCAAACCACAAUAACAACAAAGAAUAUUUGCAUUCUCUGAAAAAUUCCUAUGUCCCUUGGCAGGGUCUCCUUCCCUGACACUGAACCCCAGGACCACUGAUCUUUUUGUGUCUUUAUGUCAGUUUACGUUUGUACAAAUGAUCUCACUGUACAAGAACUCAGUUACAUCUGGGCAAUGAACUCCUACUACGUGAA